ACUGGCGGACGGGUGAGUAACACGUAUGCAACCUACCUAUUAUUGGGGGAUAGCCUUUGGAAACGGAGAUUAAUACCGCAUAAGACAGUAACAUGGCAUCAUGUAGCUGUUAAAGCUUUGGCGAUGAUAGAUGGGCAUGCGUCCAAUUAGUUAGUUGGUGAGGUAAUGGCUCACCAAGACGAUGAUUGGUAGGGGAUCUGAGAGGAUAAUCCCCCACACUGGCACUGAGAUACGGGCCAGACUCCUACGGGAGGCAGCAGUAGGGAAUAUUGGGCAAUGGACGGAAGUCUGACCCAGCCAUGCCGCGUGCAGGAUGAAGGCGUUAUGCGUUGUAAACUGCUUUUUUAUAGGAAGAAGGAGACCUUGCGAGGUUUGGUGACGGUACUAUAAGAAUAAGCACCGGCUAACUCCGUGCCAGCAGCCGCGGUAAUACG
rnacentral:rRNA from 1 species